rnacentral:lncRNA from 1 species
CUGUCCGCUCGGGCUCCGGAGGAAGCCACCGCCGCCAGUCUGAGGCAGGUGCCCGACAUGGCGAGUGCUGUGCUGCCGAGCGGGUCCCAGUGUGCGGCGGCGGUGGCGGCGGUGGCGGCGGCGGCGGCGCCUCCCGGGCUCCGACUCCGGCUUCUGCUGUUGCUCCUCUCCGCCGCGGCCCUGAUCCCCACAGGUCCUCGCGUCCCGGGGCUGGCCGGUCGCCCCCACCUCUCCAGCGGGCCCCCUACGUCCCUGCGCCCCGCACCUCCCGAGCCGACCCGCAGCCGCCCCCAGCGUGCUUGCCCCCGAUCUCCAGGACGUCCCCGGACCUGCCCCGCCGUCCCCGCGCUCUGCCUCUCCCACCCCCGGCCCCCGAACCGCGCGCCCCGCGUGCCUCCCUCCGGCCGGAUCGCGGCCCUCGCACCCCCCGGCCCCCGGCCCGCGGC